UACAGAGGGUGCAAGCGUUAAUCGGAUUUACUGGGCGUAAAGGGCGCGUAGGUGGUUAUGUAAGUGAGAGGUGAAAUCCCCGGGCUCAACCUGGGAACUGCAUUUGUGACUGCAUAGCUGGAGUGCGGCAGAGGGGGAUGGAAUUCCGCGUGUAGCAGUGAAAUGCGUAGAUAUGCGGAGGAACACCGAUGGCGAAGGCAAUCCCCUGGGCCUGCACUGACGCUCAUGCACGAAAGCGUGGGGAGCAAACAGG
rnacentral:rRNA from 1 species